GCCGGUACCGGCAGGGGGCGACACGUGGGCCGCCUCCGGGUACAACCUGCCCCGGUAUUAAUAGAGUCACAUGACGAGUGAGUGCGCUCCAAUGACCCCUCUCAGCGGAGGGUCUUGGACUCGGCCACUCGGCAGCGACGUCUGAACCGCCAGCUGGAGGCGCUAGAGAAGGACAACUUCCAGGACGACCCUCACUCCAACCUCCCCCAACUCAAGAGGCUGCCGCAGUUUGAUGACGACAACGAAACCGGUAAG